rnacentral:lncRNA from 10 species
AAAGCUGAUAGAGAUGAUUUCAUAACCUGUGACCUGUUGAUAAUGUGAACCAGACUCGAGUGAGGUCACAAUGAAAUAGAACAAAGUCUUUUAUGCGGGUUAAAGAUUCAUGGACACCGGGAAGUUGUUUUGUGUAUCAUUUUUCAUGUGAAGUAUUAAAGUACAAACUUUAACACACCCUUUGACACACUUCCAAUGUCCUUAGGAUAUGACAAGGAGAUCAGUUUUUAAGUAAGAGAAGGGGUUUGUAAAUGAGUCCUGGAAAUUAUCGCAUGCUAUCGAGUUAAAGCCUCGGUUAUAUAAUCUCAUCGAUUAUAACUCACACCAGUGUUUUGUGUACCACUAAGAAAGAAAGAAUGCUGCCAGUUAACCGUGACAUGCUAUUAAUUGUGAAAUACAUCACCUUUCUUUCUUUUCUUUUCUUUCUUUCUUUCUUUUCUUUUCUUUCUUUUCCUUUCUUUUUCUUUCUCUUUCUCUUCCUCUUUCUUUUUCUUUCUCUCUCUUUCUUUCUCUCUCUCUCUCUCUCUCUGCAUUUCCAUUUAUUUCCAUUAUCAGCAGGUGAAGAGGCAUCUGCCACCUCACCCAGCUAACUUUUGUAUUUUUAGUAGAAAUGGGGUUUCACCAUGUUGGCCAGGCUGGUCUCGAACUCCUGGCCUUGUGAUCCACCCGCCCCUUCCUCCCAAAAUGCUGGGAUUACAGGCAUAAGCCACUGCGCCUGGCUGAGAAAACAUUUUUAACUGAUGUUAAUGAGCAGCUUCUAAACACAUGAUUAGGACGCAGAAGUCGUUCCCUCUGGUGGAAUCUAUAAUGAUUACAUUAAUUCAUUUUGAUUAAUUAGAAAUAUUCGUAUCUAAGAGCAUCCAUGUUGAGAGUUUUUUGUUUCUAAGUGGAUUAUGAUUUAUGUAAGAUAGAAAAGACAAUGGGAUUACAGGCGUGAGCCACCGCGCCCGGCUACUAUUAUUUCUUUUAAGGUGGUAGUUUGGUUUCAGGGUCCCCCAGCACUGCAAUGGCAGCCUAUCCCUUCUGUCCUUUAGUUCAUGCUCUGCUCAUUGCACAGGUUAGGAUAAACUGGUAGUAACAUUGCUUCCUAAUCAUGUGUUGAGAAGUCGUGAAGAUCAGUUAGAUGAGAUGUAUUUUGUACUUUAAACUUUUUAGAUACGAGCUUUGUCAAAGUACAAAAUUGAUCCCUAUAAAAUCUAUGACACAGCACAGCCAAGGCCAACUACUGUGGAUUCUGUUUUGUAAGAAGAGAGUUGAGGACUAAAUUUCAAUGUGAUGUAGAGUUAAUCCGUAGUAAUGUUCAUUGACCAUUGGGGAUAAAUUUUUACAUGCCCACAUUACUUAUUGUAAACCCUGAAGACCUUUAGCGAUGUAUGAUUCUGCCCUGGAAUAUGUAUUUACUCUUUUGGAUAUUUGCUUAUAUUAUCUAGGGAAACAUAGUUGAAAUUAUUUCUUCCUUGGAGCUCUUGUUAACAGCGCUAUAAAUAAGUGUUCUAUGGAGUUAUUUUUGCUCUUUGAAACAAACAGGU